UACAGAGGGCGCGAGCGUUUGUCCGGAAUCACUGGGCGUAAAGAGCUCGUAGGCGGUUUGUUGCGUCGGCUGUGAAAUCCCGAGGCUCAACCUCGGGUCUGCAGUCGAUACGAGCAAACUAGAGUGUUGCAGGGGAGACUGGAAUUCCUGGUGUAGCGGUGAAAUGCGUAGAUAUCAGGAGGAAUACCGGUGGCGAAAGCGACUCUCUGGACGGCAACUGACGCUGAGGCACGAAAGCGUGGGGAGCAAACAGG
rnacentral:rRNA from 1 species